GGGUGGGGACAUGGAAGGCCAUGCCAGUGAGCUUCCCGUUCAGCUCAGGGAUGACCUUGCCCACAGCCUUGGCAGCGCCAGUGGAAGCAGGGAUGUUGGCGGGAUCUCGCUCCUGGAAGAUGGAGAUGGACUUCCCGUUGAUGACAAGUUUCCCGUUCUCAGCCUUGACUGUGCCGUGGAAUUUGCCGUGGGCAGAAUCAUACUGGAGCAUGUACACCAUGUAGUUGAGAUCAAUGAAGGGGUCAUUGAUGGCGACAAUAUCCACUUUGCCAGAGUUAAAAGCAGCCCUGGGAUCGGAGUCCUUUCCUGCCUCCAAAGCCUGAGCUUCUUCUCUUGUAUUACGACAACUGAGUAUGCCUCUUCUUUUACACCACUGAACUUGAGUUGA
rnacentral:lncRNA from 1 species